UGUCACAACCAUAUCACCCUGCAGCCCAAGACCGGUUACUCACUGAAGCUAAGCAGGGCUGAGCCAGGUCAGUACCUGGAUGGGAGACCACUAGAAUACACUAGGUUGCUGUUGGAA
rnacentral:rRNA from 1 species